GAUGAACGCUAGCGGCAGGCUUAAUACAUGCAAGUCGAGGGGUAGCAAGAUUGUAGCAAUACAAUUGUUGACGACCGGCAAACGGGUGCGGAACACGUACACAACCUUCCUACAAGUGGGGAAUAGCCCAGAGAAAUUUGGAUUAAUACCCCGUAACAUAGCGAUGUGGCAUCACAUUGCUAUUAUAGCUUCGGCGCUUGUUGAUGGGUGUGCGGCUGAUUAGAUAGUUGGCGGGGUAACGGCCCACCGAGUCUACGAUCAGUAGCUGAUGUGAGAGCACGAUCAGCCACACGGGCACUGAGACACGGGCCCGACUCCUACGGGAGGCAGCAGUAAGGAAUAUUGGACAAUGGACGCAAGUCUGAUCCAGCCAUGCCGCGUGAAGGAUUAAGGUCCUCUGGAUUGUAAACUUCUUUUAUAAGGGACGAAAAAAGGUCUUUCUAGAUCGUCUGACGGUACCUUAUGAAUAAGCACCGGCUAACUCCGUGCCAGCAGCCGCCGUAAAAC
rnacentral:rRNA from 1 species